AAUCCAUGGUGAGGGCACCUUUUCAAAGAUCCUUAUAUCUCUCCCAUGCAUCACAGAGUGUUUCUAGAUCCAUCUGUACAAAAGAAGAGAUAUCAUUCCUCAAUUU
rfam:Gossypium hirsutum cultivar TM-1 chromosome 11, whole genome shotgun sequence